UCUGUUCUCUCCCUCCACCAUGUGUGUCCUGAGCCCUCCUGGCUACCCCUUGAGCUCUGUCUUAGUGACAGAGUGGGACAGUGGGAUUUACUUUGCAGAGACCGUUUAUCUCGCUGACUGGGAUGCUGAUGAUCGGAAGGGCCGAGUUCCCAAACAGAAGAGGGUGAACAGCCAGGUACCAGGCAGCUGAGGGGGUUUUCUGUUCUGUCAGUCUGCAUCCAGAUAGGCCUUCUCUUCUGUGCUCCUUCACCAUUGGAUCAAAUCCCACCUGAGGCCAGUGUGAUGUCAUUUUAGAGCUGCAAAGAUCCCCAUCCCCAACCCAUCCCUUGGUCUCCCAAGUUGGUCUCCAACUUGCUACGUAGCUGAGAAUGACCUUGAGCUUCUGGCCCCCCUGCCUUUACCUCCCAAGUGUUUGGAUUAUACCACCAAACCAAGUUUUAUGCCGUGCUGGGGAUUGAGCCCAGGGCUUCAUGCAUGCUGGGCAAGUGGUCUGCCAACCUAGCUAAAUCCCCAGCCCGAGAUCUUGUUACUAAACACGACAAUAUUCACAGGGUUUGGGGGCACAGGGACCAGGCGGGCUACACUCUUACUUCCAUGAUGUAUUACACAGGAAGGACAUAGCAAAGGUGACAGGUAGGUAGUGUGGGGUUGAGGCUUGUGGUGUGAGGCAGGCCAGGAGGAGCUAACUCAGUUUCAUCUUCCACCCAUCUUUGUGGGAACAAACUCCCAGCAUGCAGCGGGGGCACACGGCUCAUGCCCGGUAAAUGCUUAUGCUAAAUGAAUGGGGAAACUGAGCCCUGAUGGAUGUGAGGAUGAAACAGAAGGUUCGGGUCUGUGGGUCUGGACUCGUGAUUGAGACGACUACCAAACACAGCAAGCUCUGUGGUGGAGACUGGAGAAGAAACUAUUUACACUUAUACCCACAACAGUCUGCUCUCAGCCGUGGCCAGAGAUCUUCUUUCAGUAUGGGCAGCACGGGCGGCAGUUACUGAAGAGACUCAGAAUGGGCUAAAGUGCCGAGAAGAAUUGACUGUUGAGUGCUAGCCCUAACGGAACGUCGGUAUUUGCCCCUCCCCCCUAUACACGUUGUCCGAAUCCUAUUGGACACCCUCAGGACGUCUAUACUAGCCCCUCCCCGAAUGCACGUUGCCCAAGGCUUAUGGCCAUCCUCAAGAGGGAACAGAAAGGUUUAAGAGCUGGAGAGUGGGGAGGAGAGCUGUCGGAUGCUGUCUUGUGGACAUGCAUGGCUGCCCUGCCCAUGACCUUCCUGCGGCUGUGGUUCCUGCACGAGCCCUGUAUAAGAAUAAGCCAACCAACAUGAUCAGUCCACACUGUAGCAGGAGGCACCAACUCGACUCAGUGGGUUAAAAUACCGUAGAGAAGGAAAAAAGAGAAGAGCUCAAUCUAUGUUCAUUAAGAUCCUCAAAUUUUAACUUAAAAAAAAAAUACUGAGAGACCGAAGGAAGAAAUACUCUCAAAAGCAUUUGCUUAUAGUGUUUAAAUAAAGAUUUACUGUUCUGGUAAAGAUGCGCCAUGGGGAAAAUGCCCUGAAAGACGGGCAAAAAUUACUAGUGGCAAGCUGACAGGGGCACCAGCAUCCCAGCUAUUAUUGGCUAUUAUUUUACUCGAAAAGGAUCAGAAAAUAUUGCAGGGGGCGCUAGAGAGGUGGCUUUGUGCCUAAGAGCACUGGCUGCUCUCUCGGAGGCUCUGGGUUCAACUCUCAGGACCCACACGACAGCUCACAGCUAUUCAUAAUUCCCAGUUCCAGGGGAUCUGGCACCUUCUUCUGGCCUCUACCAGCACCAGGCACUCGUGUACAGCAUGCUUGUGUACAUGUAGGCAAAACACUCAUUGAUAUAAAAUAAAAACAACUACACCCUGAAAAACAAACAAAAACCACAUUGCAAUGACUGUUGUCUCAAGAUUCCACCCUCUCCCUUUAUCCGCAUCUCUUGGGAUCUCAUGUAGCCCAAGCUGGUCUUGAACUCAGUAUGUAAAGGAUUUUAACCUUGAACUUCAGAUCUUCCUGCCUCUACCUCCCAAGUGCCGGGUUUACAGAUACAUGCCAGCAAGACCAGGUCUAUGUUAGUCUAACAACUGAGCUUCAUGCCACAGAACGACCAUCUCUCUGUUAACGUCUUCUCAGAGAGUCUUAAGAGCUCCUUUCAAGCCUGGGUACCACUUAAAGCCCGGUACAGUUACUGAACCUUUUCUCUGAAUGUUUGAUAUUGCUAUGCUGCAAUCUCAUGUCUUGCCAGCAGGUGUCACUGUUCAACAACGUGAUCCCGCACCAGCACACCCACACAGGCCGAAUAGAGCCUAGUUUUACUUUGUGAGUGAGCUCUGACUUCAGCAGGGAUGGUCUACAUGUACUAAUAUACCCCAGUCAGUGUUUGUUCUCUCUGUCUUGGUAGCACUCAUAACACUUUUGUGUCAUGGAUUGGUCUCACAAAUCCUUGGGACUCUUUAAACUCCUCAAGAUCUUUUUACUUCAUGUUUGUUAAAUGAUCGAACAUACGUAUAUACGAACAAGCCUCUCCAAGCCCUGGGGAACACAGAGCAGUUCUAUGGAUAACAAAACCGAAUCUCUUGGGCUGGGUAAAGUGCACCCCACAACCGUGAAGGUCUGAGUUAAAAUUCCAAACACCCAUAUUAAGGAAGCUGUGGCAGUGAUCAUCUAUAAUCUCACUUAAAUAUUCAUACUUCUCAGAUCGUGGGGGAGGCAGGUGUGGGCUGGAGAAUCCCCAGAAGCUCCUGUAAUGGGCCUGGCAGAAACAAAAAUAUUCCAGAGAGACACUUGUAUCUCUCAUUCUGACUGUCAGACUAUCGAAACAAUGGACCCCAAAGAAAUGGGAAUUUCCCCAGGAAUCUCAUGCUGGCAGAAGAAAGGACUCCGGCCAGAGGGGGAACUUGUCUCCCAGAAAGAUUUCACACAGUUCUAAGAACUCAGACCUCCCUACGGGAUGCGAAUGAGGCCCAGACAAUGACAGGACAGCCAUGUUUUGACCGUAAGUGCUUAGAUGGGCAUGGCCUCUACCUCCCUUCAUGACUGCACGGAUGAAUUUGUGGAGUUUACGAGAUCUCUCCGCCCCUCUUCCCAGUGUGACCACACCAAAUAUAUCUUUUUUUUUCCUGCUU
rnacentral:sRNA from 1 species